GGGGACACUGACGUCCCCGUCCCCGUUGUGGGAGGCUGCAACCCCCCAGCCUGGCAGGUCCCCAUCCAGUUGACCAGGCCAAAUGAAAACAAGAAGGAGAAAGUGAGCCACGUCAGGUCUGAAGAGAUGGUGGCAGCUAGAGGAGACCAUGGGCAGGAACACGCGCUCGUUUUUCGGGCUAGAUAUACUGCAGUAUGAGAGGAGAAAGAACAGAAUAACACACACACACCGCGAUUCCCUUUCCCCAAUAAAAGGCUGCAUUGGAAAAGAAAAUACUGUACCUCACAGAGGCUGAGAGAGGAACUGAGUACACAUUGGAUUGCCUCCUUAUUCGGGUACGAUUACAUACCUCGAUGUCACAACAGGAUGCUAACGAUGGAUGCCUCCUAUGUGAACUCAGCUGGUCCAGAUAAUGAUCAGUCAAUUUUUGCAGUUCAAAGUUUCGACGCUUUGAAAUAGCAUCACCCAGGCAAAGAUUUAUCAAAGCUUCUGCCAAGUGAAUGCCGCUGGAAAUUGUGUUUGACGUUGAUGUGCGUGUUCAAACAAGAUAGUGUUAAAUAAAAAUCCAGACACUA